AUACAUCUGUGUCAUGUAUCACCAAGAUCACAAAGGUGGUUCUCCCAGGGGGAAGCUCGUUCCUUGCCCUCCGGAUGUGCUGGCUCUUGGAGUUCCCCCAGUGGCAGAUACUUGACUGCACAGUUUGUGGUAGUGGGGACUGCAUUUACACUCUCCCCAU
rnacentral:snRNA from 1 species